ensembl:lncRNA
AUGCUAGGGAGAGAUGGAAGAUUCCAGACUCUGGUGCAUUUAAUGAAGGCACUUUUGUGUGUGCCACACAGCAAUGCAUCAUCAGAGAGGGUGUUCAGCAUGGUGCUGCUCAUAGCUACACUCCUUCAAGGGCUGUGCUACUGGCUGCGAAGCAUUGCACCUUCAAAUACAACCAUCAGUAGAGGAGUGUUGUUGUUAUUGUACAUAAUCAGUGGUGUCAAACAUGUUUGUUGUCUUUGUCAGCACUUGAGAAAAUAGAUUUUAUACUUGGAGAGGCAUGAUUAUUUUAUUUUUCUUUUAUUGCACCAAUGUUAUUGCUGGUGUUUUAUUAUAUACAAUGUUCAUUGCUUUUAUUUUCAGUGGGAAAACUAUUAACCGUGAAUUAUGCAGCAUUGCCAUUCAGUUUUUUGUUCAUCAAAGGCCAAUUCUGUUCAAGUGAGCCUUUUCAUGCAGAUUAAAAAUACUUCAGUUUGUUUGAAAAAAAAAAAAAAAAAAAAGUUCACGUGCAGCCCAUGCACUGCCCCUCCCCCUCCCCCACUAGCAGAGUGCUGGAAGCCUGCUCUGGUAAGUUUUAAACUUUCAAAGCAUCUUUUAACUGUUUGACUUGGCUGAAAUAUUGCCAUACACUUUGAAAGUGGAAACACGUUGCUCUAUAUGUGCGUGCAACUAUAGCUAAGACAGUUUGUGGGCCCAAAUGGAAAACGCGAAUGCCGAAUGCCUCGUCUAUAAAACUGCUUGUCAUUGUAUUUAGGGAGCUGCAAAUAGCUAAAUCGUAGGCUAUCCGUAUGCAUACGGCAGCUGUUACGAACACUGGUCAUAGGAUUAAAUAAUGCCGACGUUGUUCCGUGAUUCUGUGGUAUUUGUAGGAGUUUUAUUCAGCGACCACCUGGCUGAGGUUUGGACGCGUGCUCAUAAAAGAAGUGACGCGCAUGCGGUGCAGCGCGCUCAUUUGUCCAGGCGCGCUGAUGCCGUGAUGAGAUGAAAACAUCUCAACUUUUCAGAAUGCCGCAAGCGAACGCAGAUCAUGUUAACAAAAACAACCGACCUUUCCAUGACAACAUCGAAAGCUCGGCCGAACAGCUGAUCAUAGCUGGACAGGGCGGGUUUUUAUUUCUCAUCUCCAUAAAUAUAUGUAGUAGUAAAUGGCUAGAAAUCAAUGUCCUUUGCUGAUACUUCCUCGUCAUUGUGGAGAGCGCAGUUCAUGGUUGCAUAGGAACGACAGACGCCACGGGAGCAAGCACUUGCGGAAAGGAGAAAGCGGCGCGGCUGUGCUUUCCACGCAUUUUUAGACACGAUGUGAAUGGCCCCUAAUUCAUAAUAAACUGAGAAUCUAUUUGGUUUAAAAUCGUUUU